rnacentral:rRNA from 1 species
GACGAACGCUGGCGGCGUGCUUAACACAUGCAAGUCGUACGGUAAGGCCCUUUCGGGGGUACACGAGUGGCGAACGGGUGAGUAACACGUGAGUAACCUGCCCACAACUUUGGGAUAACGCUAGGAAACUGGUGCUAAUACUGGAUAUGUGCUCCUGCUGCAUGGUGGGGGUUGGAAAGCUCCGGCGGUUGUGGAUGGACUCGCGGCCUAUCAGCUUGUUGGUGGGGUAGUGGCCUACCAAGGCGGCGACGGGUAGCCGGCCUGAGAGGGUGACCGGCCACAUUGGGACUGAGAUACGGCCCAGACUCCUACGGGAGGCAGCAGGGGGGAAUAUUGCACAAUGGGCGCAAGCCUGAUGCAGCAACGCCGCGUGCGGGAGGACGGCCUUCGGGUUGUAAACCGCUUUCAGCAGGGACGAAGCUUUUUGUGACGGUACCUGCAGAAGAAGCACCGGCUAACUACGUG